GAUGAACGCUGGCGGCGUGCCUAACACAUGCAAGUCGAGCGAUUUACUUCGGUAAAGAGCGGCGGACGGGUGAGUAACGCGUGGGUAACCUGCCCUGUACACACGGAUAACAUACCGAAAGGUAUGCUAAUACGAGAUAAUAUGCUCUUAUCGCAUGGUAGAAGUAUCAAAGCUUUUGCGGUACAGGAUGGACCCGCGUCUGAUUAGCUAGUUGGUAAGGUAACGGCUUACCAAGGCGACGAUCAGUAGCCGACCUGAGAGGGUGAUCGGCCACAUUGGAACUGAGACACGGUCCAAACUCCUACGGGAGGCAGCAGUGGGGAAUAUUGCACAAUGGGCGAAAGCCUGAUGCAGCAACGCCGCGUGAGCGAUGAAGGCCUUCGGGUCGUAAAGCUCUGUCCUCAAGGAAGAUAAUGACGGUACUUGAGGAGGAAGCCCCGGCUAACUACGUGCCAGCAGCCGCGGUAA
rnacentral:rRNA from 1 species